UGGGGCGUCGUCAAGUGGUAAGACACCAGCCUUUGGAGCUGGCAUUCCCAGGUUCGAAUCCUGGCGCCCCAGCCA
rnacentral:tRNA from 1 species